GAUGAACGCUGGCGGCGUGCCUAAUACAUGCAAGUCGAGCGAAUGGAUUAAGAGCUUGCUCUUAUGAAGUUAGCGGCGGACGGGUGAGUAACACGUGGGUAACCUGCCCAUAAGACUGGGAUAACUCCGGGAAACCGGGGCUAAUACCGGAUAACAUUUUGAACCGCAUGGUUCGAAAUUGAAAGGCGGCUUCGGCCGUCACUUAAGGAUGAACCCGCGUCGCAUUAGCUAGUUGGUGAGGUAACGGCUCACCAAGGCAACGAUGCGUAGCCGACCUGAGAGGGUGAUCGGCCACACUGGGACUGAGACACGGCCCAGACUCCUACGGGAGGCAGCAGUAGGGAAUCUUCCGCAAUGGACGAAAGUCUGACGGAGCAACGCCGCGUGAGUGAUGAAGGCUUUCGGGUCGUAAAACUCUGUUGUUAGGGAAGAACAAGUGCUAGUUGAAUAAGCUGGCACCUUGACGGUACCUAACCAGAAAGCCACGGCUAACUACGUGCCAGCCGCCGCGGUAA
rnacentral:rRNA from 1 species